rnacentral:rRNA from 1 species
UACGUAGGGUGCGAGCGUUGUUCGGAAUUACUGGGCGUAAAGGGUUUGUAGGUGGCUUGUUAAGUCAGACGUGAAAUCCCUCAGCUUAACUGGGGAACUGCGUCUGAUACUGGCGAGCUUGAGUGCAGGAGAGGAACGCGGAAUUCCAGGUGUAGCGGUGAAAUGCGUAGAUAUCUGGAGGAACAUCAGUGGCGAAGGCGGCUUUCUGGUCUGCUCUUGACGCUGAGGCGCGAAAGCUAGGGUAGCAAACGGG